rfam:Ictidomys tridecemlineatus contig010647, whole genome shotgun sequence.
UUUCUAGUGUAAUUAUGUCCCAUGCACAACUUAGGACAUACUUAUACUAAAA